rnacentral:lncRNA from 1 species
CUUGAAUUGGUAUGUUCAAAUUUUCAAAAAAUGCACACGUAUGCAUCUAUUUAAUUGUUCGAAUGAUAUGAUGUGACUUUUUAUUGAAAAUAGUGACAAAAUAUGUUGUCACUUUUUCAUAGAAAAGUGACAGAAUCACAUUCUCCUUGAGCAAAAGCCUUACAUGCACCAAUGUAAUUAAUUCAAAAUUUUCUUUUUUAUAUGUAUUACCAAAAAACAGGAAUUGAAUUGGUAUAUUCAAAUUUCAAAAAUACAAACGUAAUCACGUAUAAAAUUACUUAAUUGCUCCAAUGAUAUGGUAAUGGUAUGACUUUUUUUGAAAAAAAGUGACAAAAUGUCACUCUACAUGAGCAAACACCUUGCACGCAUCCACGUACUCGAUUCAAAGUUUUCUUUUUCAUAUAUAUUACCAAAGAACAGGGGAUGAAUUAGUAUGUUCAAACUUUCAAAAAAGCAUACGUAUGCAUCAAGUUAAUUAUUCCAAUGAGAAAUGGUGAUUGUUUUGGAGAAAGGUCAUAAAAUGUCACAUUUUCGUCGAAAAGUGACACAAUGUCACUUUUUUUUAGAAAAGUAACAGAAUGUCAAUCUUCAUGAGCAAACAUCUUACAUGCAUCCAUGUAAGUGAAUCAGAGUUUUCUUUUUCAUAAAUACUACUAGAAAACAUGCCAUGAAUUAGUAUGUUCAUACUUUCAAAAAAGUACAUCUAUGCAUCAGGUUAAUUACUCCAAUAAUAAAGCGUGACUAUUUUGGAAAAAAAGUGGCAAAAUGCCGCUUUUUCUUAGAAAAGUGACACAAUGUCACUUUUUUUGAGAAAAAGUGAUAGAAUGUCAUACUUUCCAUGAGCAAACACCUUACACACAUCCAUGUAGUGGAUUCAAAGUUUUUUUUUUCCAUAUGUAUUAUCAGAAAACAAAGCAUAAAUUGGUAUGUUCAAAAUUUUAGAAAAGCACAUGUGUGCAUCUAAUUAAUUGCUCCAAUGAUAAAGUGUGACUAUUUUGGAGAAAGGUCACAGAAUGUCACUUUUUCGUAAAAAAGUGACACAACGUCACUUUUUUUUUAAGAAAAGUGACAGGAUGUCACCCUCUCCAUGUGCAAACACAUUGCAUGCAUCCAUAUAAUUGAUUCAAAGUUUUCAUUUUCAUAUGUAUUCUCACAUAACAGGGCAUGAAUUGGUAUGUUUAAAUUUUAAAAAAAGCACACGUAUGCAUCCGGUUAAUUGUUCCAAUGAUAAAGGGUGAUUGUUCUUGUAGAAAGGUAACGAAUGUCACCUUUUCGUUGAAAAGUGACAUAAUGUCACUUUUUUUAGAAAGGUGACAGUAUGUCACUCUUCAUGAUCAAACAUCUUGCAAGCAUCCAUGUAGUCGAUUCAAAGUUUUCUUUUUCAUAUGUAUUACCAAAAAAUAAGAUAUGAAUUAGUACAUUCAAAUUUUCAAAAAAGCACACAUAUGCAUCCGAUUAAUUACUCCAAUGAUAAAUAGUGACUGUUUUGGAGAAAGGUCACAAAAUGUCACUUUUUCUAAGAAAAGUGACAGAAUUCCACUUUCUCACCUUCUCCUAUGAGCAAACACAUUGCAAGCGUCAAUGCAAUUGGUUCAAAGUUUUCUUUCUCAUGUGUAUUACCAAAAAAUAUGACUUGAAUAUAUACAUUCAAAUUUCCAAAAACUCACACAUGUAUAUCUAGCUAAUUGC